rnacentral:rRNA from 1 species
CAUCUAGGCGGUCAAUCAAGUCGAAGGUGAAAACUUGUGGCUCAACCAUAAGCUUGCCUACGAAACUGAUUAACUAGAGUACUGGAGAGGUGGACGGAACUACACGAGUAGAGGUGAAAUUCGUAGAUAUGUGUAGGAAUGCCGAUGAUGAAGAUAGUUCACUGGACAGAAACUGACGCCGAAGUGCGAAAGCUAGGGGAGCAAACA